UACGAGAGGUGCAAGCGUUGUUCGGAGUGACUGGGCGUAAAGAGCACGUAGACGGGUAUGUAAGUCGGAUGUGAAAUCCCCGAGCUUAACUUGGGAACUGCAUCCGAAACUGUGUAUCUUGAAUGCUUCAAGGGUUGGUGGAAUUCCAGGUGUAGGAGUGAAAUCCGUAGAGAUCUGGAGGAACAUCGGAGGCGAAGGCGGCCAACUGGGGAUGCAUUGACGUUGAGGUGCGAAAGCGUGGGGAGCAAACAGG
rnacentral:rRNA from 1 species